CCUACGGGAGGCAGCAGUGAGGAAUAUUGGGCAAUGCCCGAAAGGGUGACCCAGCAACGCCGCGUGAGUGAAGAAGGCCUUCGGGUUGUAAAGCCCUUUCGGCAGGAACGAAACGGCGGACUCUAACAUAGUCUGUCAAUGACGGUACCUGAAGAAGAAGCACCGGCUAACUACGUGCCAGCAGCCGCGGUAAUACGUAGGGUGCGAGCGUUAAUCGGAAUUACUGGGCGUAAAGCGUGCGCAGGCGGCUUGGUAAGACGGAUGUGAAAUCCCUGGGCUUAACCUAGGAACUGCGUUCGUGACUGCAAAGCUAGAGUGCGGCAGAGGGGGGUGGAAUUCCUGGUGUAGCAGUGAAAUGCGUAGAGAUCAGGAGGAACACCGAUGGCGAAGGCAGCCCCCUGGGUUGGCACUGACGCUCAUGCACGAAAGCGUGGGGAGCAAACAGGAUUAGAUCCCCCUGUAGU
rnacentral:rRNA from 1 species